rnacentral:lncRNA from 1 species
AUGCCUAUAACUAAGUAUGAAUCACCAUAACAUGAUUUUAAAACUUUACCUUUACGUCGUGAUUCACAAUGUGAGCUAUUUUCCAAAAUCUUCGAAAUCUUGAACUCUUCAAUCUUCGGCAAUCCGCUUCGAUCCUUCAAGACUCCGACUCACUUCACGAAACUUGCCAAUACAAAAUCCUUAACAAUCUCCCCCUUUGGCAAUUUCGUGACAAAACUCACAAGACUCAAAAAUACAUAAAAGACAAUCGAAGUUCAAUGUCAUCACCAAAACAAUGAACUCCU